rnacentral:rRNA from 1 species
GACGAACGCUGGCGGCGUGCCUAAUACAUGCAAGUUGAGCGCUGAAGGUUGGUACUUGUACCAACUGGAUGAGCAGCGAACGGGUGAGUAACGCGUGGGGCAUCUGCCUUUGAGCGGGGGACAACAUUUGGAAACGAAUGCUAAUACCGCAUAAAAACUUUCAACACAAGUUUUAAGUUUGAAAGAUGCAAUUGCAUCACUCAAAGAUGAUCCCGCGUUGUAUUAGCUAGUUGGUGAGGUAACGGCUCACCAAGGCGAGGAUACAUAGCCGACCUGAGAGGGGGGGCGGCCGGCGUGGGAGUGAGACACGGCCCAAUCGCCUAGGGGUGGCAGCCGUAGGGAUUCGUGGGCAAGGAGCGGAAGACUGACCGAGCUAGGCCGCGGGAGUGAAGAAGGUUGUCGGGUCGUAAAACUCGGUUGGUAGGGAAGAACGUUGGUGAGAGUGUAACGCUCAGCAAGUGACGGUAACGACCCAGAAAGGGACGGCUAACUACGUG